rnacentral:rRNA from 1 species
GGAUUCUUCGGGAUACUAGUAAACUGGCGAACGGGUGAGUAACACGUAGGUAAUCUACCCUGGAGAUUGGGAUAACCCCGGGAAACCGGAGCUAAUACCGAAUAAUGCAGCGGAUCCUUCGGGAUAUGUUGUUAAAGCGGGCUUUUGCUCGCACUUUAGGAUGAGCCUGCGUCCGAUUAGCUUGUUGGUGGGGUAAUAGCCUACCAAGGCGAUGAUCGGUAGCUGGUCUGAGAGGAUGAUCAGCCACACUGGGAUUGAGAUACGGCCCAGACUCCUACGGGAGGCAGCAGUGGGGAAUUUUGCGCAAUGGGCGAAAGCCUGACGCAGCAACGCCGCGUGAUCGAUGAAGCUUUUCGGAGUGUAAAGAUCUGUCGUGAGGGAAGAAUAACUUGGAUGCAAAUAGUUUUCAAGUCUGACGGUACCUCAUAAGAAAGCACCGGCUAACUUCGUGCCAGCAGCCGCGGUAAUACGAGGGGUGCUAGCGUUGUCCGGAAUCAUUGGGCGUAAAGGGUCCGUAGGUGUCUUUGCAAGUCGUUUGUUACAUCCACCGGCUUAACCGGUGGCCUGCAAUCGAAACUGCAAGGAUAGAGUUCGAGAGAGGAAAGUGGAAUUCCUGGUGUAGCGGUGACAUGCGUAGAUAUCAGGAGGAACACCAAUGGCGAAGGCAGCUUUCUGGCUCGACACUGACACUGAGGGACGAAAGCGUGGGUAGCGAACAGGAUUAGAUACCCUGGUAGUCCACGCCGUAAACGAUGAGUACUUGAUGUCGNAG